rnacentral:misc_RNA from 1 species
AAAGUCGUAACAAGGUCUCCGUAGGUGAACCUGCGGAGGGAUCAUUAUCGAGUUAGGGUCUUUUAUAGGCCCGACCUCCAACCCUGUGUCUACCUAACCUCUCGUUGCUUCGGCGGGUCCGUCCCCUUAUAAGCAGGGGGCGACCGCCGGUGGCCAAACUAAACACUCUUGUUGAACCGUGGCGUCUGAGUGGAAAUAAUCAAUAACCAAAAACUUUCAACAACGGAUCUCUUGGUUCUG